rnacentral:tRNA from 1 species
AUCUUUUAAGCAAUUUUGCAUUAAAUUUAGAAUUUAAAGAUUUUAAAAGAUA